rnacentral:lncRNA from 1 species
ACUAGCAACUUCGCAAGUCGAUUUCAACCCUUUCAUCAUCUUCCCAUCUUCUUCUUCUUCCAUGGAGCAACCAGUCACUACUGAUCAAAGACACAUCAGGUAGGCGGCGGCGGCGCCGACAACGGCCGGCAAUGGAGGUAGAUAGCGAGAGAGAGACCCCCCUCUCAUGGUCAUCAUCUUUAUCUUCUUCCUCAGGAAGAUGCCUUCUCAUACUUGAGCGGCUUGACAACCUCCCAU